GUGGCUUGCACACCCGGUCCACUGCGAGGCCGCGCCCCGGCGCUGGCGGGUGGGAGCAGCCCCGAGCCAGCUCCGGCUCCUCCUAGGCUCGGCCGAGCCCUAGGAGGCGUGGCCUCCGCGAGCGCCUGCCUCCGCCCGCCGCGCUCGCGCAGGCGCACUGGGGGUCCCGGUCCCGCGAGGUCCUUCGCUGGCGGGUGGGCGGGGGAAGAGUGGGCUCUGCAGGCCGGAGCUAGACGAGCACCCGGCGCACCGCUCGGGCUCCCGGGAGGUGGCCCUGGGCGUCUCCUUUCUGCCACCGCCGCGGCGCCGGCUGCUUUCUGCGUAGCUGGGCAGGCCCCGGGCCCCCACACCGCCUCUCCCGGCAAUGCGGGCGCUCUGGAGCCGAAGAGCGGGGGCGUCCGCAAGGAGGUCAGCUCUCCGGGGCGGAGGUCCUCGGGCGCAGCGCCCUCGUCUGGAAACCAGCCGUCGCCCCCGCAGGAGCCAGCCGGCCCGUGGACGCCCCAGCGCGCUCCUUCUCGGUGCUGCCGGUCGUCCUGCAGUUCCGCGAGGAAGGAAAGCGGAUUUGGAGGAACAGGUUUCGUGACUGUCAUCAGACUGGAAAAGGCCCCGCGAGCUGGGAGGGAGGGGACGGGGGCACCCUCAGAGUUACUGCUGGAGGCUGUGGCCAGGCCGGGCAAGGUGGUGACUCCCGCUGGCAGGCUGCAGCCCCCCCCCAACCCUCCCACCUGCGCCACGGGGCUCCAGGCGGGAACCCCAGUUAUGACCGGACACCAGCGCACCGCCAAGGAGACAGCCACGUGGGGACACGCCGGGCUAGCAGGGUCAGAGCCACUUUGAGGACUUGUGACCUCGGCUCCCUGGCUUAGCCAGCCUUUGCCAAGUAUCACUGCUCCGCAUAAGGGAAAAUCAGAGGAACAAGCAAGUGCAUCCAUCCUGCCUCUCUCCCCAGUGAACUGAUAAACCCAUCAGUCUUGUCCGUGGUGCACGUGUUACAUCCCCGGGCGAUGCUGGACGCUGUGGGGAACAGCAGCCACCGCCAAAUACUCAGCGACUGCCCUGUGCCUGGUGGGUGGUAGGCGUUUGUCAGACUUUAAGCCUCACAACCCUGUAAGGGUCUCAGCCCCCUUUACAGUUGGGGAAACAGACAGCAAUGGUCACUUGGCCAAGUCCUCUUGGCCUGUGGCAGGGCAGCUGGCUUCUCCAGCACCCCUGCUCUUUACCCUCGCUCUGAGUGAGAUGCAGUUUCUGCACUACACGGCUCACAGGCCAGGGUAGGGAGCCGAGCAUCUGCAUAAAGGUGCCAGCACAGGGCAGCCCCAGACUGAGGCUCAACUGAGUCAUCCAUGCGGCGGGAAUCGUGCAGGAGAGUGUCUGCUCAGGCGAGAAUUCAGGGAGAUUUGGGCAGGCCUUGAGGGUCGGGCAGGACUGGAGAGGGAGGGCAUUCUGGACAGAGGCAUGGCCGGAGGGUGAUAGGCGGCAGUGGAGGAAGCUGCAGUUAUCUGGGUGAGCAGGCGGUGAACAAGUGGUAUCUCCCGGCCUGCUGCCCCAGGCCCCCCUAGAAGCCGCGUUCUGGGCCCUGAGCCCUCCCCAGAGUAGAUCAGUGGGGGCUGUGUGAGCAACACGGGGGGCAAUUGGGCAGCGCCUCCCUGGAGGUCCCUCUGAAAUCCCACCGGACGCUGGCAGGCUCCAAGGGGGCUGGACACCAUCCUGUCAGGUUGAAGCAAGUCCUGGCUGAGUUCCUAGUGCAGGAACUCAGGAGGGGCAAGGGGUGGAGGGCAGAGGAGAAACUGCGUCAGCGAUGUGCCCCCCACCUUCAUCCUCCAGACAGGACUUGGGAGCGUCUGCGGGACCCCAAGAGAUUCCUCUUUAGGGAAGUUAUCCAGCCCUGGGGUCCCUUUAUGCCAGGAGCAAACAGUGAGGACAGAAGAAUGACCAUCUAUCUUGUUGAAAGCUCCUUGAGGGAGGAACGGAAGGAGCUGCAUCCUUGACCAUCCCCUGAGUGUCCAUGGCCUCUGUGCCCCGGAUGAUGCUGGGGCUGCCAGGGACCACAGAGCCACCCACUGGGAGGCGGGGGGGUUGGCCUGGCUCAGGGGCCUUUGUCAGCCGUGGACACCCACAACAUGUGGUGGGAAGGGCUGGGAGGUAACACAGGAACCGAAAAACCUAAGAAGUUCCAGCCACUCUGUAGGGUAAGUUGCUCCUGGGGUAAAAUGAUUAUGUGGUUCCAGCCCCUCUGCAGGGUAAGUGGCACCUGGGGUAAAAUAACUGCCUGGAGCCGGCAGCUGCUUUCUCUGCUCUCCCCAGGGCCCUGCAGAGAAGCGCGGGAAAGUGGCACAGGGCUGGACCCAGAGGAGCUCUCACAUGCUGAACUGGACUGUCAGGGGUCAUCUAGUCCAUUCCCCGCCUCCAGGUGAGGAUUUGCCUGAGCCUGAAGGAUUCUCCCAGCACUGUCAAGCCCCAGAUUCCAACUCCCUGUGGGUGGACUGUCAGCACAGGCCCUGACAACACAGAGAAAGACACAGGACCCAGCUGGGCCAGUGACAGCAGUAGCUCCUGGUGUCACAGGUGAGGGUGGGGAUGCCUGGAGCACCAUGGGGGUCCUUGUUUAGUCUACAGCAGGGUCUUGAAAUAGGAUAUAAGUGUUACAUCUUGACACAGUGUAUACAUGCUGACACACAUAUUAAAACAAAUUUUACACAACAGUAUUAUCCUGAGUAUGAGUGAUGCCUUUUAACGAGUUUAUAUUCUAUUCACUUUAAAAUGCUGGUCUACAUCCACUGAAUUGAUUUUAUGACCUACUAAUAAUGUGUUAUAACCCACAAUUAGAAAGGCAUCGUUCUAGGGCAGGACAGAGGAAGACAGAAAAGAAAGAGAAGCAGAAAGGAAAUAAUAAGGACAAAGGGAAGGAAGAACAGAGAAAGUGAGGACAGAGUGGAGGAGGGUGUUUUGUGGGAGGUCACACAAAUGCCUGCCAUGAUGUCCCUUCAGGCUUCUCCUAACAUAAACUACAUCCCAUUCUGUGUCUGCCCUUAAGUCUUUUCCAUUGGACCCUGGAUUUAUAUUCUAUUAAUAUAAAAGAACAUAUUUUUGGUGGAAGGGAUAUAUAAUAGAAUAUAUAAUAUAGAUAAGAUAUAUAUAAUAGAAUAUAUGUUUGGUGGAAGGACUAUCUUUUCCACCUCUGUAAACCCACAGCUUCUAGCAGAAGAAUUAGAAUCAGGCAGAAAGCUUAGCGAACACCCCACCCCUAAGUCAAAAAAUUCUCCAUUUUGCAGGAAUGGAAAUUGUGACUCAUAAUGGUCAGCCAGACAGUCAAUGAUUAUCCCCACCAGGCCCUGGUGCAUCAAGAUUUGCUA
ensembl:lncRNA